AUGAAUAGUCUCCAUUUGUUUAGCACCAUUAAGGCAUUCUCUCUCUCUCUCUCUCUCUCUCUCUCUCUCUCUCUCUCUCUCUCUCUCUCUCUCUCUCUCUCUCUCUCUCUCUCUCAUUAAGAAUUAGAGAGUUACAAGGUAGACACUAAUGAAAUUAAAGUCUUGAGUUAAGCUUAGAGGGUGUGAGGUUUGGAUGAUUUUUUUUCUUUUAAAUUAGAACUACUAAUGUUCUUUAAAAUUACACAUAAUCGAAGUGAGUAAAUUAAUCCAAUUUUUUAACAGUUUCCUCAAAUUUCUAAUAGUGUUCUUUUAAUUGAAAAUCUAGAAGAGAUUUCUUUUCUGUAGAAGAAAUUGUUGCUUUAUAAGAGACAUUUAUUUUCUGUAGAAGAAAUUGAUAAUCUUUCGCAAUAUCAAAUUUUAAAUUUUGUGUUUAUAACAAUGAUUAUAACUAUAACACCAUAAUAUAAAAAUCAUACCUUAUUGUAGCUUUAUUCAUUCCAAAUUUCAUUUUGUUCUCACUAAAAUAUUUAUUGAAAUAUAGGAUUGAAAACAUUAGAUGGUUCAUCUAUUUAUAUAACAAUUGUAAAGCUGUUUGUACAAUUCAUUUGUAUUUAGCUACUCCUAAAAUGUAGAAUGGAUGAGAGGUGGAGCACAUGAUCAGCUGAUCCAUUAUUAUGGUAACAACAAGACAAAAAGUUGAAGAGAGAUACAAGAUAUGCAAAGAGAAUAAUGGAUUCUAUAAAAGAAGAAGAAUAACCAGUCAAACACCAUCUUUGUUCUCAUGUUAUCUUUGAAAAUUUUGAGUUGAUUCAUAGUAUUUUAGGUUUUUAACUAUUUCUUACUAGACUUCCAUGUAAUUUCAUAUUUUCAUUACUGAACAUAGUAAAGACUAUGAGUUUUCAGAA